UUUUUUUUUUUUUUUUUUUUUUUUUUUUUUUUUUUUUUUUUUUUUUUUUUUGUAAAUCCUGUCACCUUUGAUAACAGGGGAACG
rnacentral:ribozyme from 13 species